GACGAACGCUGGCGGCGUGCUUAACACAUGCAAGUCGAACGGAAAGGCCCUGCUUUUGUGGGGUGCUCGAGUGGCGAACGUGUGAGUAACACGUGAGUAACCUUCCCUUUACUUUGUGAUAACUUCAGGAAACUGGUGCUAAUACCUGAUAGGUGCUCCUGCUGCAUCGUGGGGGUUGGAAAGUUUCGGCGGUUGGGGAUGUACUCGCGGGUUAUCAGCUUGUUGGUGGGGUGGUGGCUUACCAAGGCUUUGACGGGUAGACGGACUGGGAGGGUGACCGGCGACAUUGGGACUGAGAUACGGCAGAGACUCCGAAGGGAGGAAGAAGUGGGGAAUAUUGAACAAUGGGCGGAAGCCGGAUGCAGCAACGCCGCGUGCGGGAUGACGGCCUUCGGGUUGUAAACCGCUUUCGCCUGUGGCGAAGCGUGAGUGACGGUAAUGGGUAAAGAAGCACCGGCUAACUACGUG
rnacentral:rRNA from 1 species